CAAGAGUAGAAUUGCAUUGCAAGUUGCAAGAAAAAUUGCACCGUGUAACAUGGCCUUAAGAGGCCAAGACAAUUUUUUUCCCGCGACAAUUGCUUGCCCUGAAACAUAACGCUGUCCCGAGUUCAUGUGAACAGGGCCUAACGCAAAUAAUGAAACCACAAUUAGCCUGGAAUGAGGAAAAUUGUAACAAUUUGUAUUUUGCGUGGAGCAUCUACAUGUUUCUUGUAUGUUUGAAU
rnacentral:lncRNA from 1 species